rnacentral:rRNA from 1 species
GAUACCGCCCUAGUUCUAACCAUAAACGAUGCCAACCAGCGAUCCGCCUGGGUUCCUCAAAUGACUCGGCGGGCAGCUUCCGGGAAACCAAAGUCUUUGGGUUCCGGGGGGAGUAUGGUUGCAAAGCUGAAACUUGAAGGAAUUGACGGAAGGGCACCACCAGGCGUGGAUCGUGCGGCUUAAUUUGACUCAACACGCGUAAACUCACCCGACCCGAACACUGGAAGGAUUGACAGAUUAAGAGCUCUUUCUUGAUUCAGUGGGUGGUGGUGCAUGGCCGCUUUUAGUUGGUGGAGCGAUUUGUCUGCUUAAUUGCGAUAACGAACGAGACUCUAGCCUACUAAAUAGGCGCUCCGAUCCCUUGCGUCGGACGCUCUUCUUAGAGGGACAAGCGGCGUUUAGCCGCACGAAACAGAGCAACAGCAGGUCUGUGAUGCCCUUAGAUGCUCGGGGCCGCACGCGCGCUACACUGAAGGAAUCAGCGUGUGCUCUCCCUGUCCGGCAGGACUGGGUAACCCGUUGAACCUCCUUCGUGAUAGGGAUAGGGGCUUGUAAUUGUUCCCCUUGAACGAGGAAUGCCCAGUAAGCACGAGUCAUCAGCUCGUGUUGAUUAUGUCCCUGCCCUUUGUACACACCGCCCGUCGCUACCUCCGAU